rnacentral:rRNA from 1 species
AUACAGUCUAGUCUGCCCACUGAUUAGAAAAUUGAAGGGCCGCGGUAUACUAACCGUGCAAAGGUAGCAUAGUCAUUAGUCUUUUAAUUGAAGACUGGAAUGAAUGGCUGGAUGAAAAAUUUACUAUCUAAGAAUUAAAGAUAUAAUUUUACUUUUAAGUGAAAAGGCUUAAUUAAGAUAAGAUGACGAUAAGACCCUAUAAAACUUUAUAAAUAAGAUUAUAAAAUAUAAGUGAUAAUAAAUAUUAAAUAUUUAAUAAAAUUAAUUUAUUUAAUUGGGGAGAUUGAGAUAAAUUGAAAAAUCUGUCUUUAUGAGAAAAAUAAAAAUAAUUAGAUUUUGAUCCUUUAAAUAGAGAUUAUAAGAUAAAGUUACUUUAGGGAUAACAGCGUAAUUUUUCUUGAGAGUUCUAAUCGACAGAAUUAAGUUGCGACCUCGAUGUUGAAUUAAAUUUACUUUUAAAUGCAGCAGUUUAAAGUGAAGGUCUGUUCGACCU